rnacentral:rRNA from 1 species
GUGGGGAAUAUUGGACAAUGGGCGAAAGCCUGAUCCAGCCAUGCCGCGUGUGUGAAGAAGGUCUUCGGAUUGUAAAGCACUUUAAGUUGGGAGGAAGGGCAGUAAGUUAAUACCUUGCUGUUUUGACGUUACCGACAGAAUAAGCACCGGCUAACUUCGUGCCAGCAGCCGCGGUAAUACGAAGGGUGCAAGCGUUAAUCGGAAUUACUGGGCGUAAAGCGCGCGUAGGUGGUUUUGUAAGUUGGAGGUGAAAUCCCCGGGCUCAACCUGGGAACUGCCUCAAAAACUGCAUGACUAGAGUACGGUAGAGGGUAGUGGAAUUUCCUGUGUAGCGGUGAAAUGCGUAGAGAUAGGAAGGAACACCAGUGGCGAAGGCGAGUAGCUGGACUGAUACUGACACUGAGGUGCGAAAGCGUGGGGAGCAAACAGGAUUAGAAACCCUAGUAGUCC